GUUCUUGCAAUAGAUGCUUGUUCCCAUCAUGGAAAUGUGACAAGUGCACGCUCAACACGAAUUAAGAAGUAUUACUUAGCUCAAAUUCGUAAAUCUGGGUUGGAGGCCAAAAAUUUGAGACUGCCGAAGGCUAUGACAAUUCAUGUGUUGUCCGUUGAUGCAUUAAAAUCCCUUGCUAACAUGUCACUACAAGAGGAUCAUGUUGAGAAGACAAGUAUGACCGG
rnacentral:misc_RNA from 1 species